UACGUAGGGGCCUAGCGUUGUCCGGAAUUAUUGGGCGUAAAGAGCUCGUAGGCGGUUCGGCAAGUCGGAUGUGAAAUCUCCACGCUCAACGUGGAGGGGCCAUUCGAAACUGCCGUGACUCGAGGCCAGUAGGGGGAUGCGGAAUUCCGGGUGUAGUGGUGGAAUGCGUAGAGAUCCGGAGGAACACCAGCGGCGAAGGCGGCAUCCUGGACUGGUCCUGACACUCAGGAGCGAAAGCGUGGGGAGCGAUCCGG
rnacentral:rRNA from 1 species